rnacentral:rRNA from 1 species
GACGAACGCUGGCGGCGUGCUUAACACAUGCAAGUCGAACGGAAAGGCCCUGCUUUUGUGGGGUGCUCGAGUGGCGAACGGGUGAGUAACACGUGAGUAACCUGCCCUUGACUUUGGUAUAACUUCAGGAAACUGGGGCUACUACCGUAUAGGAGCUCCUGCUGCAUGGUGGGGGUUGGAAAGUUUCGGCGGUUGGGGAUGGACUCGCGGCUUAUCAGCUUGUUGGUGGGGUAGUGGCUUACCAAGGCUUUGACGGGUAGCCGGCCUGAGAGGGUGACCGGCCACAUUGGGACUGAGAUACGGCCCAGACUCCUACGGGAGGCAGCAGUGGGGAAUAUUGCACAAUGGGCGGAAGCCGGAUGCAGCAACGCCGCGUGCGGGAUGACGGCCUUCGGGGUGUAAACCGCUUUCGCCUGUGACGAAGCGUGAGUGACGGUAAUGGGUAAAGAAGCACCGGCUAACUACGUG